UACGGGGGGGGCAAGCGUUGUUCGGAAUUACUGGGCGUAAAGGGCUCGUAGGCGGCCAACUAAGUCGGACGUGAAAUCCCUCGGCUUAACCGGGGAACUGCGUCCGAUACUGGAUGGCUUGAGUUUGGGAGAGGGAUGCGGAAUUCCAGGUGUAGCGGUGAAAUGCGUAGAUAUCUGGAGGAACACCGGUGGCGAAGGCGGCGUUCUGGACUGUUUCUGACACUGAAAAACGAAAGCCAGGGGAGCAAACGGG
rnacentral:rRNA from 1 species